rnacentral:rRNA from 1 species
GAUGGACGCUGGCGGCGUGCCUAAUACAUGCAAGUCGAGCGAAUGGAUUAAGAGCUUGCUCUUAUGAAGUUAGCGGCGGACGGGUGAGUAACACGUGGGUAACCUGCCCAUAAGACUGGGAUAACUCCGGGAAACCGGGGCUAAUACCGGAUAACAUUUUGAACCGCAUGGUUCGAAAUUGAAAGGCGGCUUCGGCUGUCACUUAUGGAUGGACCCGCGUCGCAUUAGCUAGUUGGUGAGGUAACGGCUCACCAAGGCAACGAUGCGUAGCCGACCUGGGAGGGUGAUCGGCAACACUGGGACUGAGACACGGCCCAGACUCCUACGGGAGGCAGCAGUAGGGAAUCUUCCGCAAUGGACGAAAGUCUGACGGAGCAACGCCGCGUGAGUGAUGAAGGCUUUCGGGUCGUAAAACUCUGUUGUUAGGGAAGAACAAGCGCUAGUUGAAUAAGCUGGCACCUUGACGGUACCUAACCAGAAAGCCACGGCUAACUACGUGCCAGCCGCCGCCGUAA